UAUUGAUAAAGGUGGGGAUCCGUAAGCGGUCUUGGUCUGGUCGUUGGACACAAACGAAGUACACGAAGUUGCACUGGCUAACUUUUAACUAAACAAAUCCCAAGUAAAAGCUACUAGAUGGAUCUACUUAUAUAGGAGCAAGGGGUGGCGGCCAAGGAGGUGGGAGGACGUCCCAAGGCAGCCUAAAACUAAAUCUAGGUCGUACAAGGCCAAUGGGCCCAAGUGGAGGUGAUGUAACACCUUUGGACUUGUAGUUUGACUCGGAUUCUGCUACAGCAUCAGAUUGUUUCGUCCACAACUCAACGCUCCGGACGAAUUUGAAGGUGAUUCCUAUUGGGUUGGAAAGUGCACGAAAUCUAGUUUCCAACAAAAAAAGAAUCACCCAAUUCGGAGUCUGUAUGAAAAACUUGUGUGCGUUUUGAGUCAGGUGUGUCUGUGCAGUCCGAAUCUGAAUCCAGAACGUGAGAGACUUGGACUCUAUCUUCUCUUGGGCCAAAAGUGACGUAAGAGAACUUUUUGGAUAGCAAAUAAACAUCUCUUUCUUCCUUAUCUUCAUAUGUGGAUUGUACAAAUGUCUCAUACACCUGCAAUUAGACAAAACACAAAAGUUUGUGAAGUAUUUUUGUUCUGGAUAACAUAAAUAGAUUAUUGAAUAGUUUGCACUAGAAAUCACCUGACAAAUAUGCAUAUAUGCAAUAUUUUUGGUCAUAUCCAAGGUAGUCAUGUCCUCAUCAUCCUCCCCUUCUUGAAAAUAAAGCCGUCCUCGGCGUUGCUUAAUCUGAAAUGUGGCUAACAAAAGAGACAAGGUGUACAUGUUGUAUAUGUAUAUGUCAUCCAUUUUUACUUCCCUUGAUUUUUGCAUAUAUGACACAUGAAUAGAUGAGUAACUUGCAUAGUUCAUAAAACCUAAAGCCAAAAAAUUAGCACAAGAAGUAGAAGAGAUGAAAAUAUUGCAACUCAGUUUGCACAUAUAAGUGAAGCUCUUAUUCAUUUCAAAAGAUUGACAAUGUUCAUCAUUAAACCAUCCCAACAUUGAUGAAUAAACCUUACUUGCAUCAAAUUUACAUGCUACAACAUGCUUAAAUAAGCAAACAUGCAAUAAGUCAUUCAACACAGAAUCAUCACCAAGAUUAGAGGUCAUAUCAAAAUGAUUAAACAUUGGUUCUUUUGCAUCAAUAGUUAAUUCAAUGGGUGCACUCAAAAUUGUUGGUAUUUCAGUUGUUUGAUCACAUGGCAAAGUCAAAUUAUCAACGUAGUCCUCUAAAAUAGGUGGUGUGAUCAAAGUAGUGGGUAGCUCAUCAGAUGGUGCAUUCAAAUUGACAAGGCAUUCAUCAUUCUCAUGUAGAGAUGGAAGAUCAGUACCUUUGUCAUUACCUCUUAUGAUCAACUCAGAUGAUGUAGCCACUCUCGGGGGCAAUGUGUCACAUGGUGGAGGUGAUGUAGUCCUGACAACAACGGAUGUGGUUGUCAUAGUAUGCCUAGUAGCUGAAGGAACAAUCAUAUCAACUCUUGGAAUGUGCACCGUGCGCUUGUUCUCCUCAUGGCCAACACGUCGUUUUAUUUCCUGUUCAGCUUUGCAAGCAAGAUGAAACAAAUGGUCCAUAGGAUAACACACUUCAUGAAUUAGUAUCUCUUGAUCCUCCCCAAAAUCUAUCCAUAAAAUCAUCUUCACUUUCUUCUAAAGAGGAAUGCAACAAGGUAGUUUGUAAAUCAUCAUAAUAUUUUGUUACAGUUUCACUACCUUGUUUUAAGUGUUGCAACUUCUUAAUCAUGUCACGAGUAUAAUAAGCAGGGACGAAAGUAUGUCGCAUGGCAAGUUUCAAAUCAUCCCAAGUAGUAGGUAUAUAAUCAGGGUGUAACCGACAAUAUUCACUCCACCAAACCAAAGCAUAACCAGUGAAAGAACCAACCGCAACCUUAACCUUUUUAUGUUCAUUGAAAUUAUGGGAAGCAAAUAUAUUUUUUAUGUCGAACUCCCAUUCAAUAUAUAAAGCAGGUUUAAAACGGCCAUUAAAUGGUGGUAUAGAUACAUUAACCUGAUCAUGUGCAUUUGGAUGUUUGUGCACCUCUCGUGACGGUUGUGGUAUUUGCAAAGGUGGUGGCACGUCUCCCGCGAUCGACAAAGCCCAUGAAUUGACUCUGGAUCCUGUCAUGAUUAGUAGAACAAGAAACAAAACCCAAAAAUAAUGUUCCUAUAACUACUAGGAUGUGGUGGUAAAACGCCCACAGUAAAGCAAAUAUCAAUGUCUUACAAGUUCUUACCAUGCAGCAGGCGGUGAUCGGCAACCAGCGGUGUCAAGUAACUCCGAAUAUUGAGUAAAGCGAUUGCCAGGGGAGCGUACGUAUACACGGUGUAGAAAUAUGUGGAGCUGGGUUGGCUAUAUAUGGUAGCAAAAGAUUAGCAAUAAUCAAUUCAAAGAUGCAAUGUUGAAUAAACGCUCAACGACGGUACUGUGCUGGUCCUAGGCUAGACCGGACUAGAGACGCGAGCCUAGAACACUAAUGAGGUCACGGCGUAGCACAACUAGCAUCAAUGAAGGAUACUAAGUAGCUCUUGACAGCAAGAUAUAAGUGAAGAUCACAACAGCAGUGAAGAUAAUGAGGUGAAACAACAGCCAAGCAGGAUAUAUCAACAACUUUGUCUCCAACUUUCCUCUGAAAAAGUUUGUGCCGAUUUUUUUUUCUUCUCUCUUUUUUUCCUCACACUUUUUUUUCUUUCUCUCCUUUUUUUUUCUCUGACUUUUUUUUUCCUUUUUUUUUCUCUCGUUUUUUUUCUCUCUUUUUUUUCUCCCUCUUUCCAAAACAAACUAGAUAAGAUGCAGAUUGGAUCAAGUGAAGAUGUGAACGAUCUCAACUAUUAUUAUGACAAUGAAUGGUGCGUAGCACGUGGUGAAAAUUAAUGGAUGGGAUGGUGGACAGCGGAAGGGAUAAUGAUGCAGCGGCGGCGUGACUAAUGUGAACAGAACUCGAAACUCUAAAAGAACUAGACACUAAGACCAGCAACUAACACGACGAUGCAACCGAUAAUUCAACUAUGCAAGCAAUGAAUAGAAAAUUGCAAAGGCUCAGACUGGCUUGGACCAAGGAUGAAUAGAUCUAACUCUUUUUUGUGGCUUUUUCUUGGACAAUAGGUAAGAAAAUAAAUCUAAUCUAGGAAAACUGGAAAUUCUCACCGAGCAACCUGAAAACUGAUACCACUUGAUAGAGGCGGGGGUGUCCCGAUCUUUCGAUGAGAUGAUAACUAUCGAUUUGGUGAAGAUGACUUUGACGAUCCGACUACAAACGUGCACGACGUUGCGCCUUAGCAAUCGCUAAACCAACUCCGAAAGGUUAUUGACCACGCUGGAGCACAAUCAACCUGACCACGAAGGUCUAUUCCUGCAAGCAAUCGAAGAACAAGCAAGAAUAUGAUAAAAGCAAUCUGAAUAUUGCGAGUAUAUAUGAAGUAUUGAUAAAGGUGGGGAUCCGUAAGCGGUCUUCGUCUGGUCGUUGGACACAAACGAAGUACACGAAGUUGCAAUGGCUAACUUUUAACUAAACAAAUCCCAAGGAAAAGCUACUAAAUGGAUCUACUUAUAUAGGAGCAAGGGGUGGCGGCCAAGGAGGUGGGAGGACGUCCCAAGGCAGCCUAAAACUAAAUCUAGGUCGUACAAGGCCAAUGGGCCCAAGUGGAGGUGAUGUAACACCUUUGGACUUGUAGUUUGACUCGGAUUCUGCUGCAGCAUCAGAUUGUUUCGUCCACAACUCAACGCUCCGGAUGAAUUUGAAGGUGAUUCCAAUUGGGUUGGAAAGUGCACGAAAUCUAGUUUCCAACAAAAAAAGAAUCACCCAAUUCGGAGUCCGUAUGAAAAACUUGUGUGCGUUUUGAGUCAGGUAUGUCUGUGCAGUCCGAAUCUGAAUCCAGAACGUGAGAGACUUGGACUCUAUCUUCUCUUGGGCCAAAAGUGACGUGAGAGAACUUUUUGGACAGCAAAUAAACAUCUCUUUCUUCCUUAUCUUCAUAUGUGGAUUGUACAAAUGUCCCAUACACCUGCAAUUAGACAAAACACGAAAGUGUGUGAAGUAUUUUUGUUCUGGAUAACAUAAAUAGAUUAUUGAAUAGUUUGCACUAGAAAUCACCUGACAAAUAUGCAUAUAUGCAAUAUUUUUGGUCAUAUCCAAGGUAGUCAUGUCCUCAUCAAUAGACCUUCGUGGUCAGGCUGACCGUGCUUCCGGCAUCAUCAGUAACCUCAGGAGAUUGGUUUAGCGAUUGCUAAGGCGCAACGUCGUGCACGUUUGUAGUCGGAUCGUCAAAGUCGUCUCCACCAAAUCGAUAGUUAUCAUCUCAUCGAAAGAUCGGGACACCCUCGCCUCUAUCAUCCUGGGUACCAGCAGGAGCAGUAGCAGGAGCCAAAGAAGCACCAACAGCAGUAGCAGCGGCACCAGAAGUUUGUCCUGGCUCAAUAGGAACAUGCUGUGCUCGUCCAUACUGAUUCGGAAGGGGGCGUAGUUGUUGUUGUUGCAGAGGUGCGACAGGUGCAGCCGGUGGUGGAAGACGCGCAAGCAGUUCAUUAAAUCUGUUAUCGAGCUUUGUUUCGAACGACUUCUCCAGGCCAGUGAUCUUCUCUAUGGCCUCUUCAAAAUUGUUCAGCACAUCUUGUACCUGUUCAGUCAUCAUUUGCUGAAACUUAUCAUGAAGCUCCUUGUUCGAUAAGUUCUCCCAGUCAAUCUCGUCGGCUUGUGAUCCUGGCAUGGUUAGCAGCAAUAGAAACACACAAGAAUAUGAUCCUACAGACUACUAAGAAGUGGUGGUGGUGUAUCACAAAUCCGUCAAGCAAAUCUCAAAUUCUUACCAGUUCUUACCCAGCAGCAGGCGGUGAUCGGCAACCGUUGUAGUCAAAAACUCUCAAAGAUUGGAUAGAGCGAUUACCAGGGAGAGUCGAACACACGACGUAGAUGUAUGUGGAGCUGGGAAGGCUUAUAGUAUGGUAGCAAAAAGGUCAGCAAUAAUCAAUUCAGAGAUGCAAAGUUGAAUAAACGCUCAACGACGGUACUGUGCUGGUCUUAGGCUAGACUGUGCUAGAGACGCGAGCCUAGAACACCAACAAAAUCACGGCGCGGCACGUAAACAAGGGAAAAGCACACUCUGAAUUUUUUUUCCGCUCUCUUUUUUUUUGCGCUCUUUUUUUUGCGCUGUUUUUUUUUUGCGAAAAAUCACUAUAAUGGCGAGUGUCUCAAAACUCUUCCUAGCUCAAACUGACAGGAUGGGCACGAAAUUUUUUCGACCAAUUUUUUUUUUUGACUGCCCGGACCCAAAAACUUUAAACGGGUCAAAAAAAACUUCCUAUAAUGGCACCUGUCUCAAAACACUCAGAAACACCUAAAAAUAGGAUAGCGAGAAAUUUUUUCGAAAAAUGCGUUUUCGAAAAAUUUUGGGCCUAAACGGAGCGUGGCUACCCGACUCUUUUUUUUUCCCGAAACCUACUCCGGCAAGGAAACACGAAUCGGAAACUAGAUGGAUCUCGAAAACAAACCUAAUAAGCAAGGAAAUCGGAUUGGUGGUGGAUAUAUGGUGGUGGUAUAUGGCAGCGGUGGUGGUAGCGGUGGUAGUAUAUGGAUAUGGAUCGGUGGUGGUAUAUGGACACGGAUUGGUGGUGGUAUAUGGAUACGGAUUCGGAGCGGUGGUGGUAGAUGGCAGGGGCAAUGAUGAUGGUGCGGCGGCGGCGUGACAACUUAUGACCAGAACUCGAAACUCUAAAAGACUAGACUCUAAGACCAGCAACUAGAAACGACGAUGCAACCGCAAAUUCAACAAAGCAAAACCCUAAAAAGAUUAUGCAAAGGCUCAGAUUGGUUCGGAUAUGAUGAACUAACCCUAAUUUUUUUUGUGGCUUUUUCGUGGACUAUAGGUAUGAAGACAGACUCGAUCUAAACUACGAAAAACUGUAAAAUCUCACCGAGCAACCUGGAAAUCUCAUACCACUUGAUAGAGGCAAAGGUGUUCCGUCUUUCGAUGAGAUGAUGAAUAUUGCUUUGGUGGAAGUCGACUUUGACGAUCCGACUACGAACGUGCGAGGACGUCGUGCCUUAGCAAUCGCUAAACCAACUCCGAGAGGUUAUUGACCACGCCGGAGCACGAUCAACCUGACCACGAGGGUCUGUUUCCUGCGAGCAAACGAAGAACAAACAAGAAACUAAGAUUGCAAUCUGGAUAUUGCGAAUAUAAGAUGAAAGCUUUAUUGAUCAAGGUGGGGUUCUGUGACGUCUUUGUCUGGUCGUUGAACACAAACGAAGUACGCGAAGUUGCAGCUAUGGCGAACUUUUAAUCUAAACAAAACCCCAAAGUCGAAACGAUGCCCUAAGGGCUGUAUAUAUGGAGGAAGAGGGGGGAAUUUCGUGGCCCUUGGUGGAGGGGUCCGAAAUAAACCCUAUCUCUUGUUUCCCCACACAUACGGACUCUAAAAAUAGCCUAUACUUAUGUAUUUCGAAAUUACAUGGGCCUGGCCCAAUAAUAAGGUGACGCAGCACCUAAAAUAGCCUCGGGACGAAAUUUAUGAAGUGGCAUCUUGUAUAUUUCGUCCAAGGCUUCAUGCACCCAUUAUGGUGGCUUCAAAGUCCUGAAAUCAUCACUUGUAACUCUGUUCUUGUUCCCCUUGCGCAUGCCAUCAUCUCCAUGCUUGUUCUUGCUCCAAUGUUCAUCCUUCUCCAAGCUAGGCCCUUCAUUUGUAAGCAAAACAAAUGUAUCCAAUUUAGGCAGCAUCAUAUUCUCAUGAACAUUAAAAGUAUUACCAAGAAACGAAAGUACCUGGUAAUUUAGUUGGCGUGCACGAGCUCUAGUAAUUGGUCCAGUAUGUAUAGCAGCAGGGGCUGUGGGUGUAACAAUUGUAUUGAUGUCCUCAUCAACUUGGGCUACUUCGAAAAUUGCUAUGCGUACUUGUUGGGUUCCACCAUAUAAUAAACAUGAAUUACUCCAAAAAUUACAACGUUUAAAACAAGGAAAAAAUUGCAGAGGAAUAUUGAGGGAGUCCAGGAUUAGGGGGUCUCCGGAUAGCCGGACUAUCUCCAUUGGCCCGACUGUUAGACUAUGAAGAUACAAGAUUGAAGACUUCAUCUCGUGUCCGGAUGGGACUCUAGUUGGCGUGGAAGGAAAGCUAGGCAAUACGGAUAGGGAUAUCUCCUCCUUUGUAACCAACCUUGUGUAACACUAACCCUCUCCGGUGUCUAUAUAAACCGAAGGGUUUUAGUCCGUAGAACAACAAUCAUACCAUAGGCUAGCUUCUAGGGUUUAGCCUCUCUGAUAUCGUGGUAGAUCUACUCUUGUACUACUCAUAUCAUCAAUAUUAAUCAAGCAGGACGUAGGGUUUUACCUCCAUCAAGAGGGCCCGAACAUGGGUAAAACUUCGUGUCCCUUGCCUCUUGUUACCAUCCGGCCUAGACGCACAGUUCGGGACCCCCUACCCGAGAACCGCCGGUUUUGACACCGACAUUGGUGCUUUCAUUGAGAGUUCCUCUGUGUCGUCGCUGUUAGGCUUGAUGGCUCCUACUAUCAUCGAUAGUGGUGCGGUCCAGGGUGAGACUUUUCUCCCCGGACAGAUCUUCGUAUUCGGCGGAUUUGCACUGCGGGCUAAUUCGCUUGGCCAUAUGGAGCAGAUUGAAAGCUACGCCCCUGGCCGUCAGGUUAGAUUUGGAAGUUUGAACUACACGGCCGACAUCCGCAGAGACUUGAUCUUCGACGGAUUCGAGCCACAGCUGGGCACGCCGCAUUGUCGCGAUGGGUAUGACCUAGCUCUGCCGCCGAACAGUACCCAGAGGCCGCAUCCGCAUCAGCUCCGACCCUUAGCUCGGAGCCAACUGUGCCAAUCAAGGAUGGGUUGUUAGACACCGCCUCAGGGGCUGCAGUCUCAACGGCAAUCGAGCCAAACACCAGCAUAAUCCUUUGUGCAGCCCGUGACUCCAAGGUGUCGGACUCUCUUUCUGACUCUGAACCGCCCGCGCCCCUGCCAAUCGAAUCCGAUUGGGCGUCGAUCAUGGAAUUCACCGCCGCUGAUAUCUUUCAGCACUCGCCCUUCGGUGACAUUCUGAAUUCACGAAGAUCUGUCUCUUUGUCAGGAGAUCCCUGGCCGGAUUAUGGCCAACAGGAUUUGGAUGCGGACGACGAAGAAAUUCGACGCCCACCCACCACCCACUUCGUAGCCACUGUCGAUGAUUUAACCGACAUGCUCGACUUCGACUCCGAAGACAUCGAUGGUAUGGACGAUGAUGUAGGAGACGAACAUGCACCAGCACCUAUAGGGCACUGGAAAGCCACCUCGUCAUACGACAUAUACAUGGUGGAUACACCCAACGAAGGCAAUGGCGACGAAAUAGCGGAGGAUGACCCCUCCAAGAAGCAACCCAAGCGCCAACGUCAGCGGCGGUGCUCUAAGUCCCGCCAAAGCAAAAGUGGUGAUACCGGCACACCAGGUAAUAAUACUCUGGAUAGUGUCGAAGACAACAACAAUUCCCUCCAGCAAGAUUUAGAGCAGGAGGAUGAAGGAGCCAGCUCUCCUCAGAGAGCGCCAGAUGGAGAGGAGGAGGAUGACAAUUACAUCCCCCCCUCUGAAGACGAGGCAAGCCUCGGCAACGAUGAAUUCGCCGUCCCAGAGGAUCCCGUCAAACAAGAGCGCUUCAAGCGCCGGCUUAUGGCCACGACAAAUAGCCUGAAGAAAAAGCAGCAGCAGCUUCAAGCUGAUCAAGAUCUGCUAGCUGAAAAAUGGACUGAAGUCCUCACGGCCGAGGAAUAUAAACUCGAGCGCCCCUCCAAAAGUUACCCAAGGCGCAGGUUACUACCCCGACUGGAGGAAGAAGCGUAUGAUACGGCGGAUCGGCUUCCUUGUGGCCGCGAUAGAGAGGCAUUCCAGCCAAAAGCUCAGCCUCCACCCCAACGCCAUUCAAAUAAAAAGGCAUGGGGAGAUACGCUAGACCUGCGAGACAUAUUGGAGGACAAGGCAAAGCAUUCAAGAUCGAUCUACGGAUCACGAGGGCGCACCACUCUGCGAGACGACAAACGUCAUGCCGGAUACAGUAAAAGCAAAUCCGGUCGGUCCGAACACAGCGGGCAAGACCCAUUCGAGCUGCGUCGAGAUAUAUCCCAACACAGAGGCGCCGCACACCCCUUAUGCUUCACAGACGAAGUAAUGGAACAUCAAUUCCCAGAAGGUUUCAAACCUGUAAACAUUGAAUCAUACGAUGGCACAACAGAUCCCGCAAUAUGGAUUGAGGACUUCCUCCUCCACAUCCACAUGGCCCGCGGGGAUGACUUACACGCCAUCAAAUACCUCCCACUAAAGCUCAAAGGACCAGCGCGGCAUUGGCUUAACAGCUUGCCAGUGGACUCCAUUAGCUGUUGGGAAGAUCUGGAAGCCGCAUUCCUCGACAACUUUCAGGGCACUUAUGUGCGACCAGCACGAUGACUUGAGCCACAUAAUUCAGCAGCCAGAAGAGUCGGCCAGGCAAUUCUGGACUCGGUUCCAUACAAAGAAAAAUCAAAUCGUCGACUGUCCGGAUGCGAAGGCCUUAGCGGCUUUCAAGCACAACAUCCGAGACGAGUGGCUAGCCCGGCACCUUGGUCAGGAAAAGCCAAAAUCUAUGGCAGCUCUCAUAAUGCUCAUGACCCGCUUUUGUGUGGGAGAAGACAGCUGGCUGGCUUGCAGUAAUAACAUAACAAAGAACCAUGGUACCUCAGAUACCAAGGACGGAAAUAGCAGGUCACGUUGCAGCAAGCAUAAGCGUCGCAUUAACAAAUGAAAAUACUAAGGAUACGGCAGUCAAUGCCGGAUUCAAAGGCUCUAAAUCCAGUCAGCGGAAAAAGCCAUUCAAACAAAGUACGCCGGGCCCGUCCAGCUUGGACUGUAUACUUGAUCGCUCGUGUCAAAUACACGGCACCCCAAACAAGCCAGCCAAUCACACCAAUAGGGAUUGUUGGGUGUUCAAGCAGGCCGGCAAGUUAAUUGCCAAAAACAAGGACAAGGGGCCGCAUACCGAUGACGAGGAGGAGCCCCGACAGCCGCACACUGGAGGACAGAAGAGGUUUCCCCCGCAAGUGCGGACGGUGCACAUGAUAUACGCAACCCACAUCCCCAAGAGGGAGCGGAAGCGUGCGCUCAGGGACGUAUAUGCGUUGGAGCCAGUCGCCACAAAGUUCAACUCUUGGUCCUCCUGCCCUAUCACCUUCGAUCGCAGGGACCAUCCCACUAGUAUCUGUCAUGGCGGAUUCGCCGCACUGGUCCUAGACCCAAUCAUCGACGGAUUUCACCUCACUCGAGUCCUUAUGGACGGCGGCAGCAGCAUGAACCUGCUUUAUGAGGACACAGUGCACAAAAUGGGUAUAGACCCCUUAAGGAUCAAACCCACAAAAACGACCUUUAAGGGCGUCAUUCCAGGUGUAGAAGCCCAUUGCACAGGCUCAAUUACACUGGAAGUGGUCUUUGGAUCCCCGAAUAACUUCUGAAGCAAAGAGUUAAUCUUAGAUAUAGUCCCGUUCCACAGUGGUUAUCACGCGCUGCUCGGGCGAACCGCAUUUGCUAGAUUCAAUGCGGUACCGCAUUAUGCAUAACUCAAGCUCAAGAUGCCAGGACCUUGUGGAGUUAUUACAGUCAAUGGAAACACAGAGCGCUCUCUCCGAACUGAGGAGCACACCGCGGCCCUCGCAGCAGAAGCGCAAAGCAGCCUCUCAAGACAAUCAACCAGUUCAGCACUUCAAAGCCCGGACACCUUCAAGCGCGCUCGGGGCAAUCGGCAAAUAGACCGCCUGGCGCGAUCUGAGCUCGCGUAGCAAUGCGGCGGCCACCCCAAUCCCAACCCAACGGCGAUAUUCGUACCGCGCGUACAUAAUAACGCAUUAAAAAUACCAUGGGCACAGGUGGGGAGGGGGGCACAACUGUGGCACGCCCCAAAACGCGGCCUAAACCGCACUAGGGGCUUCCCAUUUGGUUAUUUUUCUUUUUAUUUUAGGACCUUAAUCUCCGGAAACACUGUCCGGCAGCACUGUUGCCGAACACAUGAUGUAGCAACCGAGGAGGCAGACAGCUAUGUUAUACCACGGAAUUCCCAGGUUGAUUACAGUAAUGAGUGAAAUAUUCAAUUCAAUAUCAUUCCUCAGCUUGCCCUUAGAAGGGACAUAGUCCUACUCUUUGCUUAUCGCACUAUCUGUAUCACUCUGCCUUAACGCAAUUUUUUAAUAAACAAUGCAUGACAUUACGACUAUUAUUGCAUUCUUGUUGUGUGUGUAUAUAUAUCUAUCUAUGUGUUCAUUAAUGACGCCUUGCAACCGUACACCAGGGGCUUACGUACCCCACAAUGCGGUGUGAAAAGUCCGAACACUUUCACAAGUGCGGCACCCCGAACUUAUAGCAUUAUAUGCAUCAGCUCCGAAUCAUGUCUUUGGUCAAAUGUUGGGUUUGCCCGGCUCCUAUGUUUUGGUACCUUACGUUCCGCUUUAUCGGCUAUGGUAGCGCUAGGAGAACUACUGCGAUCGUGCCCCGGUUCUGCCGGGCUGAGCACCUCAGUAGAGAAAGCUAAAACUGACUGUCAUGAUAAGGCGAGAGACUGGUCGCUGUUCGGCGAGGUUUUUCGAGUCCCUAAAGACUUAUGCCGCUUAGGGCGAAGGGUCGGCCCUGUCCAGCUUACAGGCGUGUAUCGCGCCCCGAAUUCGGCCUUCCGAAUACCAGGGGCUUCGCCGAAAUUUAAAAUUAUAGAAUUCUAUGGCUAAGUGAGAGUGAUAAAGCAUUAUUAGUCUAGUUGCCUUGUUCAUUGUGCUGAGCACCUCCCUCGGAGGACCUAAAUAUGGGAACAAUAGUGCUCAGGUUUAUCCCGAACACCCCAGCACUAGUGGCAUGGGGGCAGAAGCCGAGGACUAGCCAUCUCUCAGAUUGGAUAAACAACCAAACAGAAGGUAAUAUUUUAAAUUCAAACAAGCCUUGCAUAGCGCAUAUGAAACAAGUUUUCAUCAUACAGGAUCACAUGAGCAAGUCUCAUUCAAAUAAUUACAUCUUGUGGGCACUCAUCCGCGAUGAGAUGGGCACCCGGCAGAACACCCUCGUAGUACAUCUCGGGGUGGCGGUGCUCCUUGCCCUCCGGCGGCCCCUCCUUGAUCAGCUUCACAGUUUCUAGCUUGACCCACUGCAAUUUCACACGGGCAAAAGCCCGGCAUGCACCUUCAAUGCAGACGGAUCGCUUGACGACCUCCAGCCGUGGGCAGGCAUCCACAAGCCGCCUCACCGGGCCGAAGAAGCUGUUCGGAAGGGCGUCGCCAGGCCAUAGCCGGACUAUAAAGCCCUUCAUGGCCUGAUCGGCCGCCUUAUGUAGCUCGACCAUCUGCUUUAGCUGGUCGCUCAUCGGCACCGGAUGUUCGGCCUCAGCAUAGUGAGACCAGAACAGCUUCUUCGUCGAGCUUCCGUCCUCGGCCUGGUAAAAUUGUGCGGCAUCGGAUACACUGCGGGGCAAAUCUGCGAAUGCUCCUGAAGAGCUUCGGAUCCGGGUAGGUAAUCGGUAAUUUACUUUUACAUGCUUGCUUUACAUAUAGAAAGCCUUACCCGCCGCUAUCUUCUUCAUUGCAUCGAUCCCUUGGAGGGCCUUUUCGGCUUCGGCCUUGGCACUUUUUUGCGCUCUCGAGGGCUGCGGCAAGCUCAGACUCCCGCGUCUUGGAGUCAAGCUCCAACGCCUCGUGCUUCGUCAUGAGAGCCUGGAGCUCUUGCUGCACCUCGCCCACCCGAGCCUCGUGCUUCUCUUGCUCGGUGCGCUCCUGGGCCGCUUUAUCUUCGACCUGGGUUAGCGCUUGCUUUAGGGUCGCCACCUCGGUCAUGGCCCCAGACAAACAUACAAUGAUCCUGUCAUUUGGCAAUCGCGUCCUUUUUUUAUAUAUACAUAUCUAUAGACGGGGUAUUACUUACCCUUGUUCCCCUCGAGCUGCCUCUUAGCAAGGCCGAGCUCUUUCUGGGACCCCUCGAGGGCCUACUUCAGUACGGCGUCCUCCACAGUCAGUGCGGCGGACGCCAGCAGCGAAGCCUGCAUAUGCAUAUUGACAUACUUAUAUUAGACUCCUGCGAUAUUAUUUGAUCCUCUGUUCGGCUUUUCUUUGUGAACAUCGAACAAAACAUCAGGGGCUACUGUCUAUGCAGUAAUAUCUCUACUACAUUUUAAAACACUUACCUCAAAGCCUGUUAGAAGGCUGGCACAUGCUUCAGUCAAUCCGCUCUUGGCGGACUGAACCUUCUGGAUCACCGCACUCAUGAUAGUGUGGUGCUCCUCAUCGAUGGAAGCGCUGUGAAGCGCUUCCAGCAGAUUGUCCGGUGCCUUUGGAUGGACAGAGGUCACUGGCACAGGCGUCUUGCCCCUCUUAGAAGGAGGCUGCCUGCCCGAGCCCGGAACCGCUAGAGGGUCCGGCACGGUGUUCGGCUGAGGGCCGGACUCGAAGCUCUCGGGGGCCCCGUCCCCUCGGCUCCCGGAGUCCGGAAGGUCACCUUGGGGCGCCUCCGGGACUGUCUCCCCUCCAUCCGGUGCCACUUGAGAAAACACCUCGGCGUCAUCGGCAGGAUGAGGGGAGGUGGCGGUCGGGACCGGAACGCUAUCCAUGUCCGACGAGCCCAGGGAGUCGUCCGAUGAUACCUCAAUAUUGGCUCGUGGCGGCCUGUAUAAUCAUGUUCGGCAAUUAGGGAAAGCAGUGAGACAAAGGAAUCCUAUGAGUUACUCUGUUAUCCGAAUACUUACGAUCUCCCCAGGGGCUUGACCCUGGGCAACCACUCGUCUUCGCCUUCGUCGGCAGUGGUGGAACUAUCCGGAAGAAGAGUCCUUCCCUUCUUGGACCCCCCGGCCUCCCUAGUAGGGGCGGCCUUCCUUUUCUUGUCUCCCCCAGUCGGUGGGGGGGCAUCUUCUUCUUCUUCCUCGUCUUCAGGGGAAGAGUGCACCAUAGAGUCAUCGAACGGUGAGUCCGACGACGCCUGGCGUCGGGAACUCUUUCGGGUUCCCUUGGCCUUCUUGGUCUUCUCCGGCACCUUAUAAGGGGCCGGAGUCAGCAUCUUUGCCAGAAGAGCGUCUGUGGGGCCUUCGGGCAAAGGAGCCGGACAGUCGAUCCGUCCGGCCAUCUUCUGCCAGUCCUAUCAAAGGUACUGGAGUUUAGAUCCCGCAUAGAGUCCAUCUAUAUAAAAAAUAAGUAUCCUGUGAAAGGUAAAGCAGCUUACCGCACUGGCUUGGCGCUUCGCGCUGAAUCCGCGAUCCUCAGUAAUAGGGGGGACCUCGGCGCUUUUGAAUAGCACCCUCUAGGCAUCUACAUGAGUCGUGUCGAAGAGCCUGUUCAGAGUUCGGUGCUGCGCCUGAUUGAAUUCCCACAAGUUGAACUCCCUUUGUUGGCACGGGAGUAUCCGGCGGAUGAGCAUAACUUGGACUAUGUUGACAAGCUUGAGCUUCUUGUCCAGCAUGUUUUGAAUACAUGUUUGGAGUCCGGUCAGCUCUUUCGAAUUACCCCAGGACAGGCCCUUCUCUUUCCAGGAGGUGAGCCGCGUGGGGAUGCCAGAUCGGAACUCGGGGGCCGCUGCCGAUGCAGGGUCGCGUGACUCAGUGAUAUAGAACCACCCCGAUUUCCACCCCUUUAUGGUUUCCACAAAGGAUCCCUCAAGCCAUGUUAUGUUGGGCAUCUUGCCCACCAUGGAACCUCCGCACUCCGCCUGGCGGCCGCCCACUACCUUCGGCUUGACGUUGAAGGUCUUCAGCCAUAAGCCGAAGUGGGGCCUGAUGCGGAGGAAGGCCUCGCACACAACGAUAAACGCCGAGAUUGUGUGGAUGAAGUUCGGGGCCAGAUCGUGGGAAUCCAGGCCAUAAUAAAACAUGAGCCCUCGGACGAAGGGAUGGAGAGGGAAUCCCAGUCCAUGGAGGAAAUGGGUGAGGAAUACUACCCUAUCAUGUGGCCUGGGAUGUCGGGAUGAGCUGCCCCUCAUCGUCGGGCAGGUAUCCGACUCUCCUCAGUUUCUUGAUGUCUCCUUCCGUGAUGGAAGAGACCAUCCACUUGCCUCCCGCUCCGGACAUGGUUGGAGAAGGUUGAGGUGGAAGUGUGGACUUGGGCGCUAGAGCUCGAGUGUGCGAAAACGGAUGAGCGAAGGAGGAAGAAGGUGUGGAUAGAAAGGUGAAUCCUUAUCCCUUUAUAUGAGCGGACGAAACUAAGCGUCCCCACUUGCCUGGUAAAACUCGCUUAUCCCCCAAGCGCUGCAAUUGAUGCCGCGGUUGGGUUACCCACGCCCGUAUUGAUGAGAAUCCCGUAAUAAGGGGACAUGAUCUCUGCUUUGACAAGAUGUGUCGAAAAACUACCUUGCGUUAUGUGCGGGGCUGGUUAAAAGAAACGGUUCGAAUAAUCACCGGGCCAUGACAUAACGUCAUGCUGCCAAAACAAGCCAGCAAAUUAGAUCUGCGAAAAUAUUAUUCUCUCUACGAUGGAAUGUGGAACUUAUUUUGCAGGGCCGGACACUAUCCUCGUAUUCAAAUUCUUCUGUGAUGUAUUCAGAGAAGGAACCUGCCUUGCAAUGCCGAAGACAAUACUGCGCGCCGGACUCAUCGUCAUUGAAGCCUGGUUCAGGGGCUACUGAGGGAGUCUUGGAUUAGGGGGUCUCCGGAUAGCCGGACUAUCUCCAUUGGCCGGACUGUUAGACUAUGAGGAUACAAGAUUGAAAACUUCAUCUCGGGUCCGGAUGGGACUCUAGUUGGCGUGGAAGGCAAGCUAGGCAAUACGGAUAGGGAUAUCUCCUCCUUUGUAACCGACCUUGUGUAACCCUAACCCUCUCCGGUGUCUAUAUAAACCGAAGGGUUUUAGUCCGUAGAACAACAAUCAUACCAUAGGCUAGCUUCUAGGGUUUAGCCUCUCUGAUCUCGUGGUAGAUCUACUCUUGUACUACUCAUAUCAUCAAUAUUAAUCAAGCAGGACGUAGGGUUUUACCUCCAUCAAGAGGGCCCGAACCUGGGUAAAACUUCGUGUCCCCUGCCUCCUGUUACCAUCCGGCCUAGACGCACAGUUCGGGACCCCCUACCCGAGAUCCGCCGGUUUUGACACGGACAAAUAUUAUGAGGAUUUACAAACUGGCAUGAUUAGAUGUGGUAUUGUUGAGGAAAAUGAAGCUAUGCUUGAAUGUUUUAUGGGUGGAUUAAAUAGAGAGAUUCAGACAAUUCUAGAGUAUAAGGAGUAUAAUAAUAUGAUUCUCUUAUUCCAUCUUGCUUGCAAAGCUGAACGUGAAGUGCGGGAUCGGCAGACAUUGGCGUGAACUAAUUUCUCUGCAGGUCGAUCUUCAUCAUGGACACCACGUACAUCCUCUACUUCCACACGUCCUACUGUAGCACCGCCGACUUCAGCCGCCAAUUCCAACCGAGAUACAAGAAAAUAGGCACCACCGUCAACAUCUGCCAGGAGAACACCUUCUGGUCCCGCACAGAGCUCUUCUUCAUCCACGGCAUCAAUAGGGCAAACACAUGAGGUUAUAUGUCGUCGUUGCAAGGGUGGAGGUCACUAUGCGAGAAAAUGUCCAUCUCCGCAUGUGAUGCUUGUUACUAAGGAUGGUGGGUAUGAGUCUGCUAGUGACUAUGAUGAGGAGACUUUGAUUCUUAUUGCAUGUGAAGAAAUGGUGGCGAUGAUUCCGAACAUGAGAUGUAAUACAUGGCUGCUUAAGAUGCUGAAGGUAUGAGAGUUUAGUUGCUCAACAUUUUUUGAGUGUGCGGAAAACACAAGCUGAACAAAAUCAGAGGCACAAUUUGUUCCAUACAAAGGGAGUUGUGAAGGAAUGUUAUUUCCACGUCAUCAUUGAUGGAUGGAGGUGCAACAACUUGGCUAGCAUGGAGAUGCUGGAGAAGCUGUCUCUCACCACAAGACCCCAUCCGCAUCCUUACUACAUCCAAUGGUUCAACAACAACAGCAAGGUUAAGGUAACAUGUACUGUUCGUGUGUGAUAGAGGCGAGGGUCCCGAUCUUUCGAUGAGAUUAUAACUAUCGAUUUGGUGGAGACGACUUUGACGAUCCGACUACAAACGUGCACGACGUUGCGCCUUAGCAAUUGCUAAACCAAUCUCCUGAGGUUACUGACGAUGCCGGAAGCACGGUCAGCCUGACCCCGAAGGUCUAUUCCUCCAAGCAAUCGAAGAACAAGCAAGAAUAUGAUAAAGCAAUCUGAAUAUUGCAAAUAUAUAUGAGGUAUUGAUAAUGGUGGGGAUCCGGAAGCGGUCUUAGUCUGGUCGUUGGACACAAACGAAGUACACGAAGUUGCAAUGGCUAACUUUUAACUAAACAAAUCCCAAGGGAAAAGCUACUAGAUGGAUCUACUUAUAUAGGAGCAAGGGGAGGUGGCCUAGGAGGUGGGAGGACGUCCCAAGGCAGCCUAAAACUAACCCUAGGUCGUACAAGGCCAAUGGGCCCAAGUGGAGGUGAUGCAACACCUUUGGACUUGUUGUUUGACUCAGAUUCUGCUGCAGCGUCUGAUUGUUUCGUCGAUAUCUCAACGCUUCGGAAUAAUUUGAAGGUGAAUCCAAUUGGGCUAGAAAGAGCAUAAAAUCUAGAAUCCAACAAAAAAAGAAUCACCCAAUUCGGAGUCCGUAUGAAAAAGUUGUUGGCGUUUUGAGUCAGGUAUGUCUGUGCAGUCCGAAUCUGAAUCCAGAACGUGAGAGACUUGGACUCUAUCUUCUCUUGGCCCAAAAGUGACGUGAGAGAACUUUUUGAACAGCACUUAAACAUCUUUUUCUCCCUUAUCUUCAUUUGUGAAUUGUACAAAUAUCCCAUACACCUGACAAAUAUGCAUGUAUGCAAUAUUUUUGGUCGUAUCCAAGGUAGUCGUGUCCUCAUCAUCGUCCCCUUUUUGAAAAGAAAGCCGUCCUCGGCGUUGUUUAAUCUGAAAUGUGGCUAAGAAAAGAGACAAGGUAUACAUGUUGUAUAUGUAUAUGUCAUUCAUUUUUACUUCCCUUGAUUUUUGCACAUAUGACACAUGUAUACAUGAGUAACUUUCAUAUAUCAUAAAAUAUAAAGGCAAAAUAUUAUCAUAAGUAGAAGGCAUAAAAAUAUUGCAACUCAGUUUUCACAUAUAAGUGAAGCUCUUAUUCCUAUCAAAGGAUUGACAAUAUUCAUCAUUAAACCAUCCCAACAUUGGUGAAUAAACCUUAUUUGCAUCAAAUUUAAAUGCUACAACAUGCUUAAAUAAGCAAACAUGCAGUAAGUCAUUGGACACAGAAUCAUCACCAAGAUUAGAGGUCAUAUCAAAAUGAUUAAACAUUGGUUCUUUUGCAUCAAUAGUUAAUUCAAUGGGUGCACUCAAAAUUGUUGGUAUUUCAGUUGUUUGAUCACAUGAUGCAUUCAUGAUAGUAACAUGAUUCUCUAAAAUAGGUGGCAUGCUCAAAUCAACAGGUAACUCAACACAUGAUGUAUUUAAGUUAAUUAGGGAUGCAUCAUUCUCAUGUGAAGUUAUAUCAUCAAUACAUAUACUGUUACCUUGUCGCAAAGACGUAGCUGAUGUCGGUAUGGACAAUGAUAAUGCACCAUACACUUGAGAUGAUGUCGCACUCACAAUCUGAGGUGUGGCUGCUCUAGUAGGUGCAACGGUGGAGGAAUCAACCGAUGGUAGUAAGCAUGAAUUGGAAUAGUAGUUGUUGUAGUCACCCAAUGCAUCCUCCUGUAACUGUCUCUCAAAGGUACAAGCACGAACAUACAUAUCAGUAAUGCAACGAGGAAUAUACCUAAAUCUUGCCUGAAUAUCAUGGUUCAAACCACCAAAAAAUCUAUUCAUUGUAUCAUCCUCAGAUUCUUCUAUGUCACAAUGACACAUAUAAGAUUUGAACUCUUGGUAGUAAGCAUGAACAGUGUUAUUGCCUUGUUUAAAUUGUUCAAAUUUACGAAGCAAUUCACGACGAUAGUAACGAGGGAAAAAUUGUUGUCUCAUUACAUGUUUCAAAUCUUUCCAAGUUGUGGGUUGGUUAUCAAUGUUUUUCUUGCAAUGCACACUCCACCAAACAGAAGCAAAACCAGUAAAUGCUCUAGUGGCAGCUCGUACUCGCUCAAGUUCAGAAAAGUCAUGGUAACUAAAAACUUGUUCUACUUCAAACUCCCAAGCUAGAUAAAUAGCAGGAUUAAAUCUACCCUCAAAUGAUGGUAAAGAGAUAACCUGACCAUGUGCUUGUGUGUGUUGUCCCAACUCUCGUGAUGGUGAAGAUGUGUUCGUCGUCCAAGAACUUCUUUCUCCGGAACCUGUCAUGAUUAGUAGAAACAAGAAACAAAAUUCGAGAAUAAUGUUCCUAUGCACUACUAGGGUGUGGUUGUAAAGUGCUCACAGUAAAGCAAAUAUCAAUAUCUUACAAGUUCUUACCAUGCGGCAGGUGGUGACAGGCAACCAACGGUGUCAAGUAACUCUAAAGAUUGUGUAAAGAUUGCCAGGGGAACGUACGUAUACACGGUGUAGAAAUAUGUGGAGCUGGGUUGGCUAUAUAUGGUAGCAAAAGAUUAGCAAUAAUCAAUUCAAAAAUGCAAUGUUGAAUAAACGCUCAACGACGGUACUGUGCUGGUCCUAGGCUAGACCGGACUAGAGACGCGAGCCUAGAACACUAAUGAGGUCACGGCGUAGCACCACUAGCAUCAAUGAAGGAUACUAAGUAGCUCUUGAUAGCAAGAUAUAAGUGAAGAUCACAACGGCAGUGAAGAUAAUGAUGAAAAACAACUGCCAAGCAGGAUAUACAACAACUCUCUCCCCAACUUUCCUCUUGAAAAGUUUGAGACAAUUUUCUGAUAAAUUCUUUCAAAGAAUGCUACUAACUCAAUCUUUCCAAUGCAAAAAGAAUCACUCAAUUCCGAGUUGAUAUGAGGAGUCAAAGAAUUCUAAAACUGGCCUGAAAAAUUGGAACAAGUUGUGUUCACGAACUUCGGAGGGCAAAAAGACCUAUUUAGAAGCCGAUUUUGAGGUGUCAAAUAUUGAACUACCUUCUGCAACUAUUUAGAUGCGGCUCGUCGCUAUCUUCAAUUUGAGUACUCACGGAGCCAAAACUGACUUCGUAUGAGGAAGAUACACCUGUUUUACUAAACAGUGCGCAAAACAGAUUCCAAUCCGAAUUCAGGUACGAGAUUGAUUCUAGAUAGAUCCAAAUUUUUUUCUUCUCUCUUUUUUUUCUCACGCCUUUUUUUUUCUUUUUCUUCUCCCUCUUUUUCUUUUUUUUUCUUUCCUUUUUUCUCUUUUUUUUUCUUUAUCUUCUUUUUCUCCCUCUUUCCAAGACAAACUAGAUAAGAUGCAGAUUCGAUCAGGCGAAGAUGUGAGUGACCUCAACUAUGAUUAUGACAAUAAACAGUGCAUAGCACAUGGUGGAAAUUGGUGGAUGGGAUGGUGGACAGCGGAUGGGAUAAUGAUGCAGCGGCUGCGUGACUAAUGUGAACAGAACUCGAAACUCUAAAGGAACUAGACACUAAGACCAGCAACUCGACACGGCGAUGCAACCGAUAAUUCAAUAAUGCAAAGAAUGAAAAGAAAAUUGCAAAGGCUCAGUCUUGCUAGGACAAAGGAUGAAUAGAUCUAACUUUUGUUUUGUGGCUUUUUCUUGGACAAUAGGUAAGAAAAUAAAUCUAAUCUAGGAAAAACUGGAAAUUCUCACCGAGCAACCUGAAAACUGAUACCACUUGAUAGAGGCGAGGGUCCCGAUCUUUCGAUGAGAUGAUAACUAUCGAUUUGGUGGAGACGACUUUGACGAUCCGACUACAAACGUGCACGACGUUGCGCCUUAGCAAUCGCUAAACCAAUCUUUUGAGGUUACUGACGAUGCCGGAAGCACGGUCAGCCUGACCACGAAGGUCUAUUCCUGCAAGCAAUCGAAGAACAAGCAAGAAUAUGAUAAAGCAAUCUGAAUAUUGCAAAGAUAUAUGAGGUAUUGAUAAUGGUGGGGAUCCGGAAGCGGUCUUGGUCUGGUCGUUGGACACAAACGUAGUACACGAAGUUACAAUGGCUAACUUUUAACUAAACAAAUCCCAAGGGAAAAGCUACUAGAUGGAUCUACUUAUAUAGGAGCAAGGGGAGGCGGCCUAGGAGGUGGGAGAACGUCCCAAGGCAGCCUAAAACUAACCCUAGGUCGUACAAGGCCAAUGGGCCCAAGUGGAGGUGAUGCAACACCUUUGG
rnacentral:lncRNA from 1 species